AAAUUCUGGUAAUCGCUGCGAUGCUAGACAUCGUAGAGGAAAGUCCAUGCUCACACGGCUCUGAGAUGACCGUAGUGUUCGUGCUUACUGAAAAAAUAAGGUAAGGCAGCUAUAAAGGCUGACGGCGGAAGGAAAACCUAAGUCUUCGGAUAUGGUUGACACUUCCUGAAAGUGCCACAGUGACGAAGCUUGCUUGGAAACUGGCAAGGUGGAACGAGGUAAACCCCACGAGUGAGAAACCCAAAUUAUGGUAGGGGCACUCUCUAAAAGGAAUUCGAACGGAUAGAGGGACAGAGUUUGCUCUGUAGAUAGAUGAUUACCACCUGAUCGUACGAGGCGCAAAGCUGUUUGAGUACCCAGGAACAAAACAUGGCUUAUGGAA
rnacentral:RNase_P_RNA from 2 species